UACAGAGGGGGCAAGCGUUGUUCGGAAUUACUGGGCGUAAAGGGCGCGUAGGUGGCCUUCUAAGUUGAACGUGAAAUCCCCGGGCUCAACCCGGGAACUGCGUCUGAUACUGGAAGGCUUGAAUCCGGGAGAGGGAUGCGGAAUUCCAGGUGUAGCGGUGAAAUGCGUAGAUAUCUGGAGGAACACCGGUGGCGAAGGCGGCAUCCUGGACCGGCAUUGACGCUGAGGCGCGAAAGCUAGGGGAGCAAACGGG
rnacentral:rRNA from 1 species